GACGUAGGGCGCGAGCGUUGUCCGGAUUUAUUGGGCGUAAAGAGCUCGUAGGCGGUUUGUCGCGUCUGCUGUGAAAACCUAAGGCUCAACCUUGGGCUUGCAGUGGGUACGGGCAGACUAGAGUGCGGUAGGGGUGACUGGAAUUCCUGGUGUAGCGGUGGAAUGCGCAGAUAUCAGGAAGAACACCCGUGGCUAAGGCGGCUCUCUAGUACGGUACUGACGCUGAGACGCGAAAGCGUGGGGAGCGAACAGG
rnacentral:rRNA from 1 species